rnacentral:rRNA from 1 species
GAUGAACGCUGGCGGCGUGCCUAAUACAUGCAAGUCGAGCGAACAGACGAGGAGCUUGCUCCUCUCACGUUAGCGGCGGACGGGUGUGUAACACGUGUAUAACCUACCUAUAAGACUGGGAUAACUUCGGGAAACCGGAGCUAAUCCCGGAUAAUAUAUUGAACCGCAUGGUUCAAUAGUGAAAGACGGUUUUGCUGUCUCUUAUAGAUGGAUCUGCGCCGCAUGAGCUAGUUGGUAAGGUAACGGCUUACCAAGGCAACGAUGCGUAGCCGACCUGAGAGGGUGAUCGGCCACACUGGAGCUGAGACACGGACAAGACUACUAAGGGAGGCAGCAGUAGGGAAUCUGCCGCAAUGGGGGAAAGCUUGACGGAGCAGCGCGGCGUGAGUGAUAAAAGUCUUCGGAUCGUAAAACUCUGUUAUUAGGGAAGAACCAAUGUGUAAGGAACUGUGCACGUCUUGACGGUACCUAAUCAGAAAGCCACGGCUAACUACGUG